GUCGAGCGCAGGAAGCAAGUUGAUCCCCUUCGGGGGUGACGCUUGUGGAAUGAGCGGCGGACGGGUGAGUAACACGUGGGCAACCUGCCUGUAAGACUGGGAUAACCCCGGGAAACCGGGGCUAAUACCGGAUAAUACUUUCUUUUGCAUAAAGGAAAGUUGAAAGGCGGCUUCGGCUGUCACUUACAGAUGGGCCCGCGGCGCAUUAGCUAGUUGGUGAGGUAACGGCUCACCAAGGCGACGAUGCGUAGCCGACCUGAGAGGGUGAUCGGCCACACUGGGACUGAGACACGGCCCAGACUCCUACGGGAGGCAGCAGUAGGGAAUCUUCCGCAAUGGACGAAAGUCUGACGGAGCAACGCCGCGUGAGUGAUGAAGGUUUUCGGAUCGUAAAACUCUGUUGUUAGGGAAGAACAAGUACGAUAGUAACUGAUCGUACCUUGACGGUACCUAACCAGAAAGCCACGGCUAACUACGUGCCAGCAGCCGCGGUAAUACGUAGGUGGCAAGCGUUGUCCGGAAUUAUUGGGCGUAAAGCGCUCGCAGGCGGUCCUUUAAGUCUGAUGUGAAAUCUCGCGGCUCAACCGCGAACGGUCAUUGGAAACUGGAGGACUUGAGUACAGAAGAGGAGAGUGGAAUUCCACGUGUAGCGGUGAAAUGCGUAGAGAUGUGGAGGAACACCAGUGGCGAAGGCGACUCUCUGGUCUGUAACUGACGCUGAGGAGCGAAAGCGUGGGGAGCGAACAGGAUUAGAUACCCUGGUAGUCCACGCCGUAAACGAUGAGUGCUAGGUGUUAGGGGGUUUCCGCCCCUUAGUGCUGAAGUUAACGCAUUAAGCACUCCGCCUGGGGAGUACGGCCGCAAGGCUGAAACUCAAAAGAAUUGACGGGGGCCCGCACAAGCGGUGGAGCAUGUGGUUUAAUUCGAAGCAACGCGAAGAACCUUACCAGGUCUUGACAUCCUCUGCCAUUCCUAGAGAUAGGAAGUUCCCUUCGGGGACAGAGUGACAGGUGGUGCAUGG
rnacentral:rRNA from 1 species